rnacentral:rRNA from 1 species
UACGUAGGGGGCAAGCGUUGUCCGGAUUUAUUGGGCGUAAAGAGCGUGUAGGCGGCCAUACAGGUCAGCUGUGAAAACUCGAGGCUCAACCUCGAGACGUCGGUUGAAACCGUAUGGCUAGAGUCCGGGAAGAGGAGAGUGGAAUUCCCGGUGUAGCGGUGAAAUGCGCAGAUAUCAGGAGGAACACCGGUGGCGAAGGCGGGUCUCUGGGCCGAUACUGACACUGAGGAGCGAAAGCGUGGGGAGCGAACAGG